AUUGAACGCUGGCGGUAGGCCUAACACAUGCAAGUCGAACGGUAACAGGAUAAAGCUUGCUGUUUCGCUGUCGCGUGGCGGACGGGUGUGAAAUGUCCGGGGAACUGCCUGUUGGAGGGGGAUAUCUAGUGGAAACGGUAGCUAUUACAGCAUAACGUACCAAGACCAAAAAGGGGGAGCUUCUGGCCCCUUGCCAGCUGGUGUGACCCGAUGGGAUUAGCUUGUUGGUGGGGUAACGGCUCACCAAGGCGACGAUCCCUAGCUGGUCUGAGAGGAUGACCAGCCACACUGGAACUUAGACACGGUCCAGACUCCUACGGGAGGCAGCAGUGGGGAAUAUUGCACAAUGGGCGCAAGCCUGAUGCAGCCAUGCCGCGUGUAUGAAGAAGGCCUUCGGGUUGUAAAGUACUUUCAGCGGGGAGGAAGGGAGUAAAGUUAAUACCUUUGCUCAUUGACGUUACCCGCAGAAGAAGCACCGGCUAACUCCGUG
rnacentral:rRNA from 1 species